GGGGGUAGGGAGGUAUAUGGGAAAACUCUGUAGCUUCCUCUCAAUUUUGCUGUGAAUCUAAACCUGCUCUAAAAAAUUUAAGUUAAAAUAU